CCUAGUUUUUGGAUCUAACCCAUAAUUCCCAAGCCUAUAAUUCCUAGGUCCGUACCCCUUAACCUAAAUAUAACCCUAAAAUCCUAAACCUAUAAAAGGAAGCUAGACCUAACGCCUACAAUGAGCUAAAAAAACACGGCUAGAGCUAAGACCCUAACACUGAAAAUCAAGCGCCGCAAUUCUCAAAAAAGAAACCCCCCCAUCGCUUCUAGUCUUCCUCUUCAAAGGAUCGACGGACAAUCCACCAUUUUUGAACAAAAAUGAAGAAGGCUUAAAAGCCUUCAGCUGCUGGAACGUAAAGAGAUUCACCAUCACCCUCACCUCGCCGGAACAACCACGAACUAGACUUCCUCUUUCACCUUCAACCUCCGUCGCGAACCCGCCCUUUACCACCAAGCAGUGUCUCUACCAGCCAUCGAGACUUCUUCCUCUCGAACGCAAACAUACGAACACACUGAAGCAACAGAGAAGCAAGGGCAGUGAAUGAAAAAAGGGCAGAAAACAGUGAGGAGCCCAAAAGCUCGUUUAACAGUCUUUUCCGGCGAGUCUCGAGUUUUUUUUUGACUGUUCUGCUGGUUCCUUAUCGAGGUUGAAUCCAUCUUAGAGCUUGUUUGUAAGAUCUGUUCGACGCUAGAUAUUGAAGUUUCUGAGUUCGUUGAGGUCCGGUGCGUCGAGGUCGUCACGUAGCUCUGGACGGAUUUCUUUUGUUCAUUGUUUCAAAAACGUAUUGCUAUAUAAAGGUCCAUCUCUCUUCUCUUUGUCUUACUGAUUUAAUUGAAUUAAAGUGAUCUUUCUUCUAUGGUUGAACAUGCUCAAUUUAUGGUAUUGUCACCUAAAUCUAUCAAAUUUUGAUGUGAAUAACUGAAAUUUUGUUUGGUAUUCGUGAUCGUUUCAUUGAUCUUACUAUUGCUGUCUCUAUUCUUUGAUUCUUCCCCUUUGAAACUUGGAGAUUUUCCCUUUAGCUUGCCUUGUUGGGAGAAAGAAUUUGAACUGAUGUUUUGGUGAAAUGAAAACUGUCCUUCUGAAAGAUGGGAAAAAAGAUAUUGAAUUCAUUGUCUUAGAUAGUCACAUGGGCAUUUUGAAUGUAUUUUUAGUGAAAUAGUAUUCACAUUCAGAAACACAUAUGGAUAAUAUCGUUUUUAUGUCACUACUUUAUUAGUUGGUCCGCUAGUAGCAUGCUUAGGUCGUCAAUAGUCGUGAAUCUCGUAGUUUCCUUUAAGCACAUAAUUGAACAUUACAACUAUGGUUACGGUUCCCGUGACGUGGUUGUGGUACUUAGUCUUUUAGAUAUAAGUAGGAGUAUUAAAGUUUGCCUUAGUUAAAUACAAAUAUUUUCUUUAAAAUAAUUUGAGGUGCGCCAUACACAAAUAAAAUCCUAUAAUCUAUGGCCCUCACAUAAAUACAAAAUUAGUAUGAAAAAUGCCUUGAAUUCUCGUAGUUUGCUUUAGGCGCGCUAAUUAAUAAAUUUUAUUACAGCUACGGGUUCGGUUCUCGUGACGUAGUUGUGAUGCCUAAUUUUUAAAUCCGGGGGUACAUUUAUGUGACUCGGCCACAAUUUUAAUCUUGUUAAUAAAUAAACAUGUUGUAGAUCGUGGGUACGGUUCCCGUGACAUGAUUCGCAAUGUGUAAUCAAAUAAUUAGCUGUAUGACAAUUGGAUUAUUAAAAGCGGGUUUAAAAGGGAUAAAAUGCACAUAGGAUUCAAAGAUAUUUUAAAAUCAAAUAAAUAGGCCAAUAAUAACAGUUGAGCAACCGUGCUAAAACCACGGAACCCGGGAAUACUUAUUACCUUCUCUCGGAUUAACAAAAUUCCUUACCCGGAUUUUUNNNNNNNNNNNNNNNNNNNNNNNNNAAAUUAUUCCAAGUGGUGACUCUAAAUUUUUAAUAAAAUAAUCCCGUUUCGAUUGUCAUUUAAAUUGGAAAGAACUCUCUUAUACUCUUUCCGGGGGGUAGGAAAAAGGAGGUGUGGCAAAGUGCACCUUUUAUCCUUUCUCUGGUUUCACUCAAAUGCUGCCCUCAUUUUCUCCUUACCUUUCUAACACUCAAUCUUGUGACUCAAGCGUUUUUAGGGGUAAAAGGUUCAACAAAGUUAAUUAAGAACAAAAAGAAAUUAAGCUUGUAAUGUGGGUGCCAAAGAAAAUAUUUAUAGACUCAAAUGGCUAACUAUGAAAAUAUUUAAACAUGGUAGGCAAUUCAAGGCUCAAUGAGCUAACCAAAUAAAUGCCUAAAUCAUCUCCUAGACUCAACAAGACUUACUUAUUUUCUUCGUCACACACACACGAGCCAAGUUCUAGACUAACUUAGGAUAGCACAAAAUUAAACUUCAAACCUCUCACACACAUUACACAUGACCCAUCCAGACGGUUUCAUUCCAACUCUCAAGUCAAAGUAGGUAAUAUAUACCAAGAAUUACUAAGCAAUAAGCACUAGAUAAACAAACAAGUCAAGAAGUUGAGUAAAAGGCGUCAUAGAACAAGCUAUUCAAAUUUUCAAGGCAUCAUACAAUUUCAAAUAUGUGGGGAAGGUGAUUCACAUGUUUCAGCCUAAAUAUGCUAGCAUCAAACAUGUCAAAAGGCAUCUAAGAGAAAUUAUUUUUUCCUUCCUACUCCUACUCUAAUCCUUAAACCAUAAAAUAGCCGGUUCAAGUUACAUGAUAGGUUACAAGUACCUUGGGCAUAAGUACUUUACUUUAUGUUUUGAUGAUCUAACAAACUUACUAUCCAGAACCAGAUAAGGAACAUGUUACACAUUUACAAGAACUUGAGAUCACAAAGUUCCAAGUUGGGAUCCAGCGUGGGAUAUAACUCAACUUUUUAGAGUGGAAGGAACAGCUGAGGUAACAGGUCCCUACCAGUUCCCGAGGAGACUGUAUGAAGUCAACUCUCCAAUAGGAAAGUUGCUGCCUGCACACGCUACUAUACAUGAACAAUGCAACAAUCAACUUUCUGUGAAAGGCUUUUUACCUACCUUGCUUAUAUCAUUGUAAGUGAUGUCACACACGUAUAAAUACAAUCAAGGAAGGUGAAACAACUUACUUCAUGAGAGAACCAGAUAAAGGACCUGAAGCAUGCCUGGUACAAUCAUUCAAGUUAAUCGACUCAAGAUAAUCUGGGCAGUGUGCCUUUAGAUUUACAAGAACCAGAUUAGGGACCUGAUCUCUUGGUGUUCCCAUGACAAAAGUAUAAGUCAAUUAUACAGCUGAAAAACAACUACAGAAAGUGACUGCCUGCAACUGUACACACAAUAGUGCAGCAGACAGUGCAUCCGUCACUUCCCAUUGGGAAGAGGCAUGUACUAACCAAGAAUUGACAUCACCAUUGUGAAUUGACAUCACCAUGGUGAUGUCUUUUGUAGUAUAAACCUGGUGCAAGGCACAAGACAUUUUCUUCAACACUUGCAAAAUCAAAAGAAGAUAUUCUCUCAAGUGCUUGCCACAACCUCUCUCAAGAACAAAGCUGCUACAACCUCAAGGACCGAAUCCAAUAUUGAAGAUAUCUUAAGUCCUUAGGUUUGUUGAAUCUUUGUUAUUUGUUCUUCAUUUUUUAUUCCUAUCUUGCUUUCUUAGAUGCUGUAAUUUAGGAAACCCAAAAUCACAAACCCGCCAAGUUGUGUUGUGACUAGAGUUAGUCAUAAGUUAAAGUCUUUGUAACUAAAAAGUGACAAAGUGGCUUGUGGUAAGAGUAUCACAAGUUAGUUAAGUUAGAGUCUCUGUAACUAGAGAGUGACAAAGUGGCUUGUGAUGAGAGAAUCACACGUUAGUUAAAGUCUUUGUAACUAGAAAGUGACAAAGUGACUUGUGGUAAGAGUACCACAAGUUAGUUGAGUUAAAUUAUUUGUAAUGGAAUCAUUACAAAGUGGCUUGUAAUAGAUGUUUACAAGUUAGUGAAGUUGAAAGCCUACAGGUGUAGGUCGUGAUUUUUGUCCCCUUGAGUUGGGAUUUUUCCAACUAAGAAUCCUCUGUGUUCUUUAUUUACUACCGAGCUACUAUGGGAACAAUUAGAGAACCUGAUUCCCUAUACUGGUUGGUUUUACAAUAUUUUUCUUACAGUGGGAACUUAUAGAGAAUUUGGUUCUCUAUAUAGUCUGGUGGACACUUAGUUUCUAUCAAUUGAUAAGGUUAACACCUAGAAAGGAUCUACAUGACUACUUCACCAAAUUUCGAGGAAGGACAAUCAACGUACAAACCACCAAGAUUCAACGGACACUACUAUGGUUGGUGGAAAACAAGAAUGCAUGACUUCAUUAUGGCUGAGGACUCAGAGCUGUGGGAUAUAAUCUGUGAUGGACCUUUUGUUCCCAUGAAAACUGUUGGUGAGGGAAUGGUUACAGUCCCAAAAACAAGAAAAGAGUACAAUGAUGCUGAUAGAAAGGCUAUUGAGAAGCAUUUUAGGGCAAAGAAGAUUCUUGUUUGUGGCAUCAAACCAGAUGAGUACAACCGCAUCUCAGCUUGGCAGUCUGCUAAGGAGAUUCAGGAAGCUCUUCAAACUACCCAUGAGGGAACUACUCAGGUUAAACAGUCCAAAAUUGAUAUGCUUACUAUUGAGUAUGAGCUUUUUGAGAUGAAGUAGGAUGAGUCUAUUCAAGAUAUGCACACAUGUUGCACCUCCAUUAUCAAUGAGCUUCACUCCCUUGGUGAAGUCAUCCCAAGAAAUAAGCUGGUCUGGAAAAUACUCAGUGUUUUACCAGGUUCUUAGGAAAGUAAAAUGAAUGCUAUCAUUGAAGCCAAGGAUUUGCAGAAGCUGACCAUUGAUGAACUCAUUAGAAAUCUUAAAAAUAAUGAGAUGAAGAGAAAGAAGGAUCUUUAAAGAAGAGAGCCCAAGAAGGAGAAGAACCGGGUUCUCAAGGCUGCCAACAAAGACUCAAGAAGUGAUGAAUCCGACAUGGAGUAUCUCACUCGAAGAUUCCAAAAUAUGAUUUGAAAAAUUGGUGGGAUUCCAAAGAAAAGAAGUUCCAGUAGGAAUUUCGAAGAAAAUGAUUGCCGCCAUAAGUGUGGAAAGUUUGGACACUUCAUUAAAGACUGUCCUAUUCAUAAGCAGGAUCAUUACAAAACCAACACUGAAAAGGCCACUAAAAGGAACCAGGUCCUUGACAGAAAGUUCAAAAGAAGAGAUGCUGCUGACAACAUGGUGAAGCAAGCCCUGGUUGAUUGGGGAAAUUCCUAUAGUGAAUCUGAAGGUGAAAAUAUGAUGGUUGCUAACAAUGGAUCUUCAGAAUAUGAGUCAAUCUUUGCACUCAUGGCCAAAUCUGAUGAUGAUGAGGACAAAGAGGAAGAUGAGGUAAGUUUUCUUGAUGUUCAAAGAAAUUUGAAAACUUACUCUAUGAAAAAAUUGAUGUCUUUAGCAAAUGUGUUGAUUGAUGCCUAUCAUAGCCUCAUUAAUGAGAAAAAUUCUUUAAUAGAAGAAAUUUAUGGCAUUGAACAAGAGAGAGAUUAUAUGGUAGUUUCCAUUGUAGACUUAGAGGAAACCAUUGAGAGUCUAAAGAAACAAAAAGAGGUUCUAAUUGAGGGUAAUGCUAACAUUGAGCAUGAGAGAGAUGACCUAUUAGUGGUGGCUGUAAACUUAAAGGAAAUAAUUAGGGAACUUACAAUGAAAAGUAGGCCUGAGAAUUCUCAAAAGGGAAAGGAAGUUGCAAGUGAGGCACACAUUAAGCUUGAAAGUGAGUUAAAUUCAGUGAAGUCUAGUAUGUGUGCUGAGCUUGAGAAAAACAACAACUUCAGGAAGAACUAGGAAGACUGAAGAGUGAUAUUGAAAAAUCACUUAAGUGGACCUGGUCCUCUUAUGCUAUCAAUGCCUUGUACACAAACAAUUGGGGAAACAUUCAGGGAAUCAGGUUCCAAAGAGAAAAGACUCCCUACAACGCUUAUAGUAAGUACGUUACUGUACCUGACAAUUGGCUUUGCACUCACUGUGGAAACACUGGGCACUUUAAAGAAAAUUGUAAGGCCAGAAUUCAGUCUCAACAGAAAAAUAAAGUUUUUGCUGAAAAAGUAACUGCUGCUACGGAACCUGGUCCUUCACAUAAAAAACAUAUAAUGCCUGCCUGGACCAAAAGAGCCCUCAUUCACCCCUUUUCUCAUUAUAAGGGACCAAACUCAUUUGAAUUCCUAAGUCUAACUCCUGAUUUUCUUGUGCAGGGAAUAGUGAAAGAGAUCAACCUAUAAUGGUACAUGGAUAGCAACUGCUCAAAACAUAUGACUGGAAGUACAAAUGAUUUUCUUUCACUUAAGGACCUGCAAGGAGAGAGUGUACCCAUUGAAAAUAGCUAAAAGGGAUACACUCUAGGAGUAGGAAGGAUUGGGAAGUCACUCACUCACUCAAUUAAGAACGUGUACUAUGUCAAUUGCCUGAAGUAGUCUCUUGAGUGUUUAAUUCUCAGAUAUGUGACAAGGGAAAUAAAGUGAAAUUCUUGUCCAAGAUAUGCACAGUCACAAAUCUUGUGAUUGGUGAGGUGGUGCUUGUGGCCAAAAGAUACAAGAAUGUUUACAUUGCUGAUUUUAAGUCCCUACAUGGUGGUGAUCUAACGUGCCUAAGUGUCCUUGACGAUGAUGCUGAGUUAUGGUGAAGAUGACUGGGCAUGUGAGUUUCUACUUGUUGAACAAGUUGGUUAUGGAGGACCUGGUUCAUGGGCUGAAGCAGUCAACACUUCUUGCUACUUGAUUAACAAGUGCAUGAUCAGUUUCCUUCUCGAGAAGUUUCUCUAUGAACUGCUCAAUGGGAGAAAAGCCAAGUUGACUUACUCGAGAGCCUUUUGGAUGCAAAAUGUUUUGUUCUCAAUAAUGGUGGAAAAAGGGUCACAUUACAAAGAAGAUGAAGAUGGAGAAUUCACAAAUGCUCCUGUUGAAGCUAUAGAUAUUGCAAAUGAAAAGACUGAUUUGAUGAGUGAAUUCAAGUAGAAGGAUGAAUGAGAUGCAGUAGAAUCUCCAAAAGGCACAGAGGAACCUGGUCCCUUUAUCACCUCGACUUAAGCUAAACAUAGGGUUGUUGAUGCAACAUAGGGUUGUUGAUGCACAUAUGGAAGAACCUGGUCCUUCAAAUUCUGAAGUUCAAGUAUCCAACUAGAAGCAAAAGAGUUCACAUCCCUUCAAAAUGUAAUCACAUCCUUAGAUUCUGGUAUUCAACCUAGUUCUAAGGUAAGGAACAUGUUUUCCCUCUCAGCGUUCUUGUCUUAAAUCUAGCCUUAGAACAUCAAAGAAGCAUUGAAAAAUGCUAACUGGAUAGCUGCUAUGCAAGAAGAAAUCCAUCAGUUGAGAGGAACCAAGUAUGCCCUUGGUCCCUAGGCCUUCAUACAGAAUAGUGAUUGGAACCUGGCCCAAAACACUCUCACUUGAAGGGUGCCAAGGGAAGUUUGAGGUAUCCUAAGGGAAUGCAGGACAUGGUCCUCGUCUAUUAUUCAGGAGAUUCUUUUGAUUUGGUUGGAUAUGUUGAUGCUGAUUAUGUUGAAUAUCUAGUGGACAGAAAAAGCACUUCUGGAACGACACAUUUUCUAGGGUCAUACUUGAUCUCAUGGGGUAUAAAGAAACAAACCGUGUGGCUCUUUCUACUGCUGAAGCUGAAUACGUGGUUGCUGCUUCUUGUUGUGCUCAACUACUACAGAUCAAGCAAUAUCUUGAAGACUUUGGUGUAUUUAUAGCUUGAACCCGGUACAACACAAGAAGACAAAAGGCAUUGAUGUGGGACAUCACUUUUUGAGGGAUAAUGUAUAAAAGGUUCUGAUUUGUAUGAAGUACUGGAAGACGGAGGACCAGGUAGCAGACAUCUUCACCAAGGCACUGACAGUGAACACUUUGAAAGAAAUCGGGGUUGAUCAAGCUUAACAGAGGGACCUGGUCCCUCGAUGAUUGGCUAUGUUAACAAGGAAAAGUACACUGGUAAAAAGUGUUUUUCAGCGAUAUCUAACUCAAAUCUAUACUGUUACAGGUAUACACAUAUAGCAAUUUUAGGACAAAAACAAGUAAGAGUAACAUUGCACUUCUAGGAGUCUUUGCUCAAAAUUUUUAAAAACCGUCAAGGAACCUGGUUCCUAUGACUCAGGUUAGUAGUCUCUCCAAUACUUAUUGUCACACCUCCUUUUGACCCCUCUCCGGAAAAGUAUAAGGGAGUUUUGACCAAUUUAAGUGACAAUCAAAACGGGAUUUAUUUAAAAUUCAGAGUCGCCACUUGAGAUAGUUUAUGGUGUCCCAAGUCACCGAUUUAAAUCUCGAAUCGAGGAAAAGAUUGACUCUGUAUUACAGUCCGCGAAUCAGAAAUCCGGGUAAGGAAUUCUGUUAACCCAGGAGAAGGUGUUAGGCAUUCCCGAGUUCCGUGGUUUUAGCACAGUCUUUAUAUUUAGCUUAAUUAUCUGAUUUUAAACAAUUAUGAACCUAUGUGAAAUUUUAACUUUUAACCGCUUUUAUUCAAUUUUUAAAGAGGAUUGAACGUCGUUUAAAACAUGUCUUUGGAUCGCGCCACAUGAAAUGCACCCGUAAUCCUAAACAUAUUUUAUUCAAUGUUUUAAGAUUUGAUUAGGGUCACAUGAAAUGCACACCCGAUUUUAGGAGGGUAAAUUUUAAAAUAGUGCGCCCGAAGCAACUACGCACUUUCAACUUCGCAAGGGCCAUGUAAAUUUCACCAGGUGGCAUGCCUCAAUUUCUAAGGAUAAAACAAGAUUAAUUAUACGAGGGCCAUGCCAUGGUCAUUUUUGUUCGGUACAACAUACCGAAUUGAAAUUGGGUCACAUGAAAUGCACACCCGAAUUUGGAAAUUAUGUAUCAUGACUAUGUUACAGGAACUGUAUCUAUAGCCACGAUGAUUUAUUAAUAAUCAUGCCUAAAGCAAACUACGAUGUUCAAAGUUGUUUAAUUAUCUGCUAAGUUUGAGAUUAUUGUAGUGCUCGAAGGUUACGAGGGUAGAAUUUAUGAAAAAGUAAGAUUGAUUAUUAGGGACUGCCUGAUGUAUCAAUUAUACCGAGUAUAGUUUUAUGAUGCUACAAGCAGAUAAGUCCUAAUUAUUCAUUCUAUUUUUAUCUAGACUUAAUUCUUGAUGAAGAAAGUUAAUGGAAUAAAAUGAAAGGUCAUGCUAAAAUCCAACGUGAUCUCUACCAAAUAAUAUAGUGGCUCAUUUAACCUUUCCAUUUUGUGAUUAAGCUCACACCCAACGUAAAGUCAUAAGAACCUCCAAAUCUUGACAAGAACAACUAUUAAUCAAAAUAUGAACUUGGGGAAAGAUUGAUUCAAAACAUAAUAGCAUCUGCCGUUGAUGAAACAGAGAGCAAUAAAUCACUCAUACUUGCAUAUUAAUUCAACAGUUUAACACACCAUGAAUAAGAUGAUUUAAACAAAGAGAAUCGCCACUUUAGCUCAAAUGAGCCUACCGUAUAUAUAGCCAGAUGAAUCCUUAUCUUCUGGUGGCUCUAAUCUAUGAGAGUCCAAUGAAAAUUUCAUUCACUAGUAAUAAUUUCAUGAAUUCAAGCGGACGAACAUCAUUAAGCUAGUGAAUCGAAAUUAGCUUAGGUAGUGAACCAAUUUUUAAAUCUCCCAAAGUUUGAAAUUAAAGCAAGUUGAAGAUUCUGCAUAUGCUAAUAAACCAAAACACAUAGCUAAUUAGUGGACAUACAAACAAACUGAACCUAUGGCAUGGUAUUUGAGCACAACGAAUGAUUUCAAACUCAAAUUUUCAGUUCAAAACAAAUAGUCAAAGCUAGAUGUUGGCAGACAUAGUAGAUGUAGACCAAUCCAGUGAUUAAAUACAGUGAAUGCACGAAUUGGACAUUAAUAUAACACGAACAAAUCAGAUUUAUAUUUAUGAUUUUUGUAGACAACUAAAUAAAAUCUGACAUACCUAAUUAUACAGGAAUAAACUUAGAAAUGCCACAUAAAAGCAGAAGAAAAGGAGCACAAACCCAGCAAACAAAUCCCAGCAACAACAAACAGAGAACAUCAGUGAGCCCAAACAAAAACACUUUUAACAGCUUGAAGAACCUUUAAAUUUCCAGAAGUACCAAAUGAAGGAGCAAGGCUUCAACAUGCAUCGAGACCGAAAUCAACAAUUCGAAAUCAACCACAUCUAUAGAAACUUAGGAGGAGCGUUUGAGCUACAAAAUUUCAGUAACCCAAUGGACUUCACAUCUUCAUAAAAAAAAAAUUCAUCUUCUCUUUUGUACUUCCCCUCUUCUAGGUCUAGGAUCUAAUGAUGAUUCAGACUUUAAUACAUGAUGCUAAUGGAUCAGUUAAUGAUGGAUCUAGCUUAUUGGAUCUCUAUUAAUGAACAUAAAUCAUUUAAACUUGUAUAAAGCCAACAAGAUAAACUGAAGGUUCACCAUAUAAAUACUAACAUCAUAUACUCUCUACUAGCAACUACCACAUGCUUAACUGAACUGAUUUGGACAAAAUAAUCACAUUAACUAAACAAACAGAUCAGAGAAGAACAAAAUGGAAUAUUUUCUAUGCUCCAAUUCUUUAUUUUUCAUUUUUCAUUCCUCAAAUUCACUUCAUAACUAAAGUAGUUACAGGGUCGUGUACCUGGAAAUAAAAGAAGGAAGCAGAAAAGUGAGGUAUCAACAGUAACAAUAGUGAAGUAGAAUUCAGCAGCAACAGGUGACCAACAAACCAAUUUCAAACUCAGGAAAUAAUAUACAGCAACCCAGAAAUCAGUUUUGAUCGAACAACAAACCAGAUUCAAUCAACUUUCGAUGAAAUUGAUUCAAAAUCAGGGAGGCAGUGAAUAAAAAUGCAGAAUAUCUCUGUGUAUAUGAAUUCAGUCUCUAUAUCUCCCUCUCUUAGGUCUGUCUCCCUUCUCUUAGGUUGGUAUCUCUCUCAGAAAGUUUUCUUCCUAAUCUCCUCAGCUCCUCCCCACUCUUCUCUUAGGUCUCUCCCCUUUAAAGCCCAAUGUUAAACCCAUUUUAUUCAAAUCUUUUUUCACUUUUCAGCCUGUUUAUUCCCUCCCAUGUGCGCCCCUUUAAACUUUUAUUAUUAACCCAUGUUGUUUCUGAUGUCCCCACCUCUAAAGGUUUUGUAAAAGGGUGUCAACCUUAUUGCCAUCUUCAAUUUUUUAAACCUACCCUAUGUUCUUCUUUGAAUUCCCACCUCUAAAGGUACUUAAAAGGCUGUUACUUUCCACUACUGAUCCUUUUUUUUAAUUUUUAAUUAAACCUUUAAAGGUGUUGACAAACUGUCAUGUCCACUACCAAUCCCUUUGUUUCUUAAUGAACUCCAACUAACCACAUUAACCUUAUGAGGACUAUUUACAUGUUAAGGUUUCAAAAUAGAUCAAAAAGAGAUGUAGAGAUUUUGAAAAUAAACUGAACCUGAGUGAAACAUAGACAUAUUUAUAGAAUCAUGUAAACCAAAAUUCAAACAGAAAUUUCAAACAAAUUAUCGUGUUUAACUAAGCAGUAAUUUGACAUGCAAUGUUCACAUUUGUUGUUCUCAGCAAAUUAAGACAUAAACAGACUGAAACUUCAUGUAAUAAAAGGACAAGAAAAUGAUAAAACCGUGAAUUUCAGCCUGUGGGAAAGGGAUGAGGAGGAAGAUACAUAAAAGAAAACAUUGAAAAAACACCGAAACACUUACCAGAAUCGAACCCUUUAUUCCACUCAAAAGAACUUCCUACUCUUUUGGUUGAGACGGACUCUAAUCGUAUGUUUUUGUUCGAUUGAAAACACACGAUUACAGCCUAUUUCAACCUAAAAAUCUUGAAAUCUUUACUAAGCAGUGUUUUUGGGGACUCAAGGUUCAACUUUUCGAUCUGAAAUUCGAAAGGCUCUACGGUGAUUCGAGGAAAAUUAUCAUGGGAUUUGGGACGAGGGAAGCCUGGUGGUUCAGGGGUGUGAUUUUUUGGGGUUGAUUGGGUAAGGUAGGGUUUUUUUACUGAACUUCGAUUGAAGAUUCGAGGCUCUUGCUAUGAUUCGAAGAGAGGUGUUUGGAUAUUUGGAAUGGAGAGGUUGAGGGGGAUCCGCGGUGUGAAGAAAGAGGUCAUUGGAACUGGCACCGCCGGGUUUAGGGCGGUGGAGAGGGGCGACUGCUGCUAGGGUUUGGAUUUAGGUCGUCUCUGAAGAGACGAAGAAGACUGGGUAGGGGCUUUAGGGGGGUGGGGUGUGUUACACAUAUAUAUACAUGUUGUGGAAUUGAAUCCAAACCGUUGGAUCAAUUGAGAUCAACGGCGUGGAUCAGUUCACUUAUGUAAAACGGGGCCGUUUUGGCCGGUUGGGGGAUUGGGUCGGUUAGUGGGGUGGACGGGUCGAGUUGCGAGGAAAAUACUGGACUGUUCGAUCGAAUGAAACGAACGGUUCAGAUCAACAAACAUGAAACGGCGUCAUUUAGUCGAUGCUGGAGAUGUACUGAACUGUUCGAUCUAAUGAGAUCGACGGUUGAGACUUAUCAGCUCUGAAAUGACGUCGUUGGCUAAGCUGGUGGUGGACCGGGUUUGGACUGCUUUUGGGCCUGGGAAUUUAGUUAAAACUAGUCCAACUCCUAUUUCAUUCUCUUUUAUUUUCUUUUCAAUUUUCUUCUUAAUCAAAUACAAACCCAAAUUUAAUUUUGACCAACUUAUCUUAAAAAGAUUAAUUAAUUCUAAGUAGUAAUUAUCACAAAAUAACUAAACCCCAAAUUAAAAGAAAACAUAAAAUUCGACAUUAAUUACUAAAAUGCAAAGAAUAUAUAUUAUUUUUUUUUUGAAUUUUUUAUUUUUACAAAACACCUAAUUAUUGAUUAAUUAAAAAGAAUGUCAAAUUAAAUCCUAAAUGUACAUGCAACAUAAUUUUUAUUUUUUUUCAUUAAUUUAACCAACGAACAUGCACACACAAAUGCAAACAAUUACAGAAAAUAUCACGAAAAUUCAUAAAAUUGCACACAAAAAGAAAGAUUUAUUUGAUUUUGAAUUUUUAGGAGUGGUUCGUGUGAGACAAAAAUCACGUGCUCACAGCUGCCCCUCUUUGCCCGGAAACAUGAAGAGUUUUCGUGCAAAGAUAAAGUGAGCGGAUACGAGCAACUUUUGACCGUUUGAAUACUCCGUGGGAAGUAUUUUUUUGAAAGAAUUUGACCGAACCUCUUCUUCAAAGGUUUCCUACAUAUCCUUGGCUAUAAAGGAAUCAGGUCAAUGUAGUUCGGGAAGUUUCGGUAGCUGGGACUACCAUGAAGCUGUGGUUUCACUGUUACUGCUGCUACUGAUACUACUCACUGACCUCCUUAUUACACCAUGACAAAAAUGAAGAAGCUAGACUAAGCUAUAACCUAUGCUUUAUAAAGAGUUAUUUUCAAACUUGGCCUUGUGACUGUUGUUGCCUUGUUGACUUGCAUUUUGUUCAGUUGUUCCUUUGUGGCUGACUUGCAUGGUAUCUUUGAAAUGCUUUCCUUUUUCUUCAGGUGGACAUCUUGUUGCUGACCCUUUAAACGUCUUCCUUUGACCAUUGUUGCCUAUCCUCUAUUCUACAGGCGAGCUCCUGAUUACUCGAAUCUUGAAUUGUUUCUUCCCUUCAUCCUCCCUUUGGGUGCCUGACUGCUGAACUUGAAUUGUAUUCCCUUGCUCUCCAGGUGGGCUCCUGACUGUUGAAACUUGAAAUGUAUUCUCUUGUUCUCCAGGUAGGUUCCUGAUUGCUGAACUCGAAUUGUAUUCCCUUGUUUUCCAGGCGGGCUCCUGACUGCUGAAAUUUCAACCAUCUUUCCUUGUUCUCCAGGUGGACGCCUGAUUCUGAA
rnacentral:lncRNA from 1 species